rnacentral:rRNA from 1 species
GGAAUAUUGGGCAAUGGGCGAAAGCCUGACCCAGCAACGCCGCGUGAAGGAAGAAGGUUUUCGGAUCGUAAACUUCUGUCCUAUAUGAAGAUAAUGACGGUAGUAUAGGAGGAAGCCCCGGCUAACUACGUGCCAGCAGCCGCGGUAAUACGUAGGGGGCGAGCGUUGUCCGGAAUGAUUGGGCGUAAAGGGCGCGUAGGCGGCCUGGUAAGUCUGGAGUGAAAGUCCUGCUUUUAAGGUGGGAAUUGCUUUGGAUACUGUUGGGCUUGAGUGCAGGAGAGGUUAUCGGAAUUCCCGGUGUAGCGGUGAAAUGCGUAGAGAUCGGGAGGAACACCAGUGGCGAAGGCGGGUAACUGGACUGCAACUGACGCUGAGGCGCGAAAGUGUGGGGAGCAAACA